CUUCCUUUUUGUGGAUUCUUGCUGUCUUCCUCCCACAAUUAAUGUAUUUUUCCUAUAUAUUUUGGAUUAAUAUACACUAGAUCAUUUGCAAAGAAAUUUCCAACCAUGAUGAACCAUGCAUAGUAAUUAGUAAAUAGGCGUUAUUUAUAGGGGUAGUACAAUCUCAAGUUCUGAACAAAUGUUCAUUGUUACGUCCAUCUUAAAUAUGUAAAUUAAAAGUAUGAGUUCAAACAUUUCAUACGAA